CUUCAGCGAGCCGAGCCAGAGCGGCCGGUCGGCGGGCCGGCCCGCGCCGUAGACGGCCAUCAGGGCCCGCGCCUC
rnacentral:antisense_RNA from 1 species